AUGUGUGUAUGAGUCACCAUCAGCAUGGGAGGGGAGCUCAGGGCUGCAGAGCUGAUGCUCUCUUAGUUUACUAGGAGCUCUCUUCACCUUCCCCUCCCGCAUGGAGAAAAGAGCAGCAGCCACAGCUACGCUAGUGAUUAACUUUGGAAGGAAAUUAAGGCUUGACCGCUGCUGCUGACCUGAGGGGAGAGUCACCUCCAAGCAGACUGCGCUGGCUCAAGAACAUGGAGUGAGCCGCAGCAGGUGGAAGCACUCAGAGAGGGCGCUGCUAGCAUCAGGUCCGGAGGGGUUCCACUCGAGGUUCCACGCAGAGAAGGAAGGAGGAGGAGAAGAGAAUAAGAGGGAGAGAAGAAAGCAAAAAAUUUUGGCACCAGUCAACAGACGUCUAAAGACGCUCGUAUGGAGGGGCUUGAAGAGAACCGAAGAAGCUGGCCAUGCUCCCACCCGCCUUAUGAGAGGCUCAGACAUAGCCUUGAACUAUCCCUGGGACACCCAACUCUUCCAAGCUAUUCAGUGAGUGAUGAGAAAACUAAGCUGUGGAACAGACUGUUACCUGCCCAGGAUGAGACAGCAAGCUCAGAUGAGACUUCUGACUUCCUGAUCCAGGUCGAUUUAAAGGUGCUGGUGAAGUGAUUACAAAUCUCCCCAUGGCAAACAACCUCUGCAGACUCAUGAAGACGAUUCUUCAAUUCAUUCACACAUGGAAGAAUUCAGGGAGGAUGACAAUGGUAAUGUUUCUUUUACUUCAUCUAUGAAAUAUACAACCAGGACCAGAGGGUGUCUGCCUAAGAAACGUCUUUCUUCUUCUUUUAAGGCAAGUGAAUAAAUGUUUCAAGCCAUGGCAUCGAUCUACACACUUUCAGGAUCUUGCCUAGUGUGCAGCUUUAUAUGUCUGUUUCCUGACACUUCUCAGCAGAAGAAACCAUCUCUAACAUUCCAAAGGGGGCAGAGCUCAGAAGUGUAGCUGAGAAAGCAGUUUGAGAACCCAAGACCAAAUAUGCUGAAUCCCUUGAAGAUGGAAGAAGUUUCUCCAAAACAACCAAGUGUUUAUUGAGCUGGGAAUAAUUAUGUUGUGGAAGAUAGAAGGAAGUAUAACAUAGUUACUUGCCUUUAAGAAGCAAAUAUUCUGACCAGAUAGAAACCAAGGAGCUGGGCACCGUGGCUCAUGCCUGUAAUCCCAACACUUUGGGAGGCCCAGGAGGGCAGAUCACGAGGUUGGGAGUUUGAGACCAGCCUGACCAACAUGGUGAAACCCUGUCUCUACUGAAAAUACAAAAAAAUUAGCUGGGUGUGGUGGCACGUGCCUGUAAUCCCAGCUACUCAGGAGGCUGAGGCAGGAGAAUUGCCUGAACCCAGGAGGCAGAGGUUGCAGUGAGCCGAGAUCGUGCCAGUGCACCCCAGCCUGAGUGACAGAGUGAAACUCCAUCUCAAAAAAAAAAAAAAAGAAAGAAGAAAGGAUGAUAUUGGGGGUCUCCUCUUUCAACUUUGGAGCCCCCCUCCCUCCCCCCUCCCUUUAUCUCUGUACUGGGGAGCCUCUUCCUUCUGCCUUCUCUUUUCUUUCUUGCCAAUUAAACUCUCUACUCCUUAAAACCAAAAAAAAAAAAAAAAAUAGAAAAGAAAGAAGAAAAAGAAGAAAGAAAAAGAAAGAAGGAAAGAAAGAAAGACAUGUAAGUGGCUUCCUAGUGAGAGAAAUAAUUUACUCUGGGAUGAGCUCACGUGGUGAGAAAUACUAUGAGCCUUGAUUUUUCAGCUCCUUACAUCUCAGAAUGAGGAAUUUCGAAUAUUAGAAUGCAUUCUGAAGAAGGCAGAGUAUACUCAUUAAGAAUAUGUCUUCUAACUCCAGAUAGACGAGAGACCAAAGGCUGGGGCUUCCACUUACUACCUCUGAGAAGUUGGACCACUUCAUUUUUCACCUCUGUCAAGGGCAGUCCUUGUGAGGAUGAACUAAGGCAGGCCCGGCACUGAGAAAGUGGCCAGUGGUGUCCACUGUUAGGUAGAGAGAAAUUGUUGAAAGCUUUAAGACAGUGUGGGGAAGGGGGAUGUCAAUAAAAUGAAGAGAAAGAUUUUGAAAGACGAACGCAGCAUCAGUGUCAACCUUUGGAGGAGUCUGUGCUGAGGAGAAGCCGGUAAGUGCAGAAACGACCCAGAGAGUCAAAGAAGGGAGCUUUGAAGUCAGGGCUGUAUUUGUUGCAAUGGUAAGAAGAUAAGGUUGAUAAGACCUGGAAAGUAUGUGGGCGUUUGAGACAAAUGGGUUAAUACACCAUCUCUUAGACAAGGAGAAGUCAAAGAUGAUGAUGAGGUGAGAGUCUUGGGUAGCCAGGAGAACAGACUUGAAAGGCCUUAACGGAGGUGAAACACACUCCACUUACCUCCUCAAUGCGCUCUUCCCAUGCGAUAUGCAGACUAGAUGAUCCUGGAGAAGUUUCUAUAUUCAGGUGGUUCCUUGGGGCACAGAUGUUAUAUGCUUGCUGUACUGUUUAAUCAUAAAACACUGCUACAAAAAGAUCUUUGAGCUUUUAGGUCACACAUACGCAAGUGCUAGGUAAAAUGUGAAAAGUAAGCUGAGUUUUUCUCUUCUUCCUCUGCAGUAGAAAAAUGAUUUUUUUUUUUUGAGACGGUGUCUCACUCUGUUGCCCAGGCUGGAGUGCAGUGGCAUAAUCUUGGCUCAUGGCAACCUCUGCCUCUGGGGUUCAAGAGAUUCUUCUGCAUCAGCCUUCCAAGUAGCUGGGACUACAGGCAUACGCCACCAUGCCCAACUAGGUUUUGUAUUUUUAGUAGAGACAGGGUUUUACCAUAUUGGCCAGGCUGAUCUUGAGCUCCUGACCUCAGCCUCAGGUGAUCCGCCCAACUCGACCUCCCAAAGUGCUGAGACUAUAGGUGUGAGCCACCAUGCCUGACCAGGAAUUUUAAGAUAUAAGAUGAAAAUGAGGAAGUAAAGAACACUCCAAAUAAGCAUCAGGAUGCUGAUCUUCAAAAAAUAAAAAUUUUCACCCAUUUAUCAGUCCUCCUGCAGAGUAGCCAUCAAGUAUAGAUUUUGAACUUUGUCCAUGCAAGGAAUUCCCUGAGACCAUGAAAGGUCAGAGAAGGACUGUCUUUAGGGCUGGGUGGACAAAUGGGUGGUGUAGGUGAUUAAGCACAAGUUUUCUUCUUGCACAGAAAAUUCCUUUCCAAAACUUAAAUAGUUUCUGCCUCAAGGAAAAUCUGUGCUAUUAUCACCAGUUUCCCCUUCUAUUUGUUUUUCCUGAAGUGCUAUGAGAUUUCUAAAACAAAGUGUAAGAUAUGAACGCUGUAAAUUCCUGCUGUUAUUCAUAAACAUUAUUUGGAAAUACUCCAUUUGGACUUGUCCACUUUUCCUUCUGUUACUAAAACCAGCUAUCAACUUUUCUAUAGGAAUUUUUUCCUGUAGUUACCUUAUCAUUUUUUGUUUAAUCAAAAUAACAUUCUUAUGUUUUUUAUUAAUUCAUACUUUUUUUUUUUGAAAUAGGGUCUUAUGCUCAGGCUAGUCUCAAAUUCUUAGCUCAUGUGAUCCUCUCGCCUCAGCUUCCUGAAUAGCUGGGACUACUGGUGCAUGCCACCCAGAUUCAUUCAUGUUUUAUUAUUAUUUUGAGACAGAGUCUUGCCCUGUCACCAGGUGCCAGGCUGGAGUGCAGUGGCAUGAUCUCGGCUCACUGCAACCUCUGUCUCCUGGGUUCAAGCAAUUCUCCUGUCUCAGCCUCCCAAGUAGCUGGGACUACAGGUGCACCCCACCACGCCCAGCUAAUUUUUAUAUUUUUAAUAGUGAUGGGGUUUCACCAUGUUGGCCAGGAUGGUCUUGAUCUCUUGACCUCGUGAUCCACCUACCUCGGCCUCCCAAAGUGCUGAGAUUAUAGGCGUGAGCCACCGCACCCAGCCUCAUGUAUUAUUUUAAUGGCUUAGGGUUGCUUUUCCAGACAAUAAAUCGGUGAAAAUUAUUUUAUAAAAGUAUUAUCAACUGAACAUUAUUAUAACUCCCUCUUGGUCUAGAUAAAAAAGGAAUGGAGCAGUGGGUGGAAAAUUGACUUUCAUUACUUCUUAUUUUCAUAUUUUAUAGAAGUACAGAGAAGAUUGAUCAGUUGUCAACAUUAACUGACUAUGUAUAGAAUGCUAAACAAUUAUAAUAAAGAAGAACAAAGCAAUGAGGAACCUCAGUGGGGGUAAAUUUCUCAGUAUCUACAGCAUGACAAAGACAUAUUUCCCUGAGGCCAACAAUUCCCCUAUAGGAACACAUCCUAUGGAUAGACUUGUAAGUGCUCAAAAUGCAACUAGAAUGUUCCCAACUAUCUGCUGGGUAAUAUACAGGACAUAGGAGAAGAAAAGGAUAAACUGGUGUCUCUCAACUGAGACAAAUGAGAGAAGAAGUUCAGUCCUAACUCAGGCAGGGAAGCAGAGUCAGAGAAUGACUGACUGCAAGGAGUGGAGAGCCUUCUGAAGAAAAUCCCAGGUUAAAGCCCCAUAGCGCAGAGGUCGGACUUGGGGUAGAAAACACAGAGGCAGCUGCGGUUCAUCCCUUGUAAUAACCACAUUUUCUAAUUUCUGUGUUUGGUGUUUUGGCAUCUGAGCCUUGCUAACUCAAGAGAAACUACUGCUCCCAGGGCUGCUAAUUCCUAGAGAUGGCAAACAACUUGCUUGGGAGUGCACCUUUCAUCUGCACACCAACCAAUCCAGAGCCCACAUUCCCCAAUCACUCUGGGUAUACUUACAAAAGGAAUAGGACAGUGGAAGGAAAAUUGACUUUCAUUACUUCCUAUUUCAAUAGUUAUAGACAUACAGAUAAGAGAAUGAUCAGUUAACAACAUUAGGUAACUAAGUAUAGAAUACUACAAAAUUGUAAUAAGAACAAAGCAGUGAGGAGCCUCAGUGGAGGGAAAUUGCUCAGUAUCUGAGGCAUGACAAAUGCGUAUUUCCCUGGGGAUAUGGUUUGGAUCUGUGUCCCCGCCCAAAUCUCAUGUUCAAUCGUUAAUUCCAUUGUUGAAGGUGGAGCCUGGUGGAAGGUGAUUGGAUCAUGGGGGUGAAGUUCUCAUGUAUGGUUUGGCACCAUCCCUUUGGUGGUGUUCUCAUGAUACAGUGUCACAAGAUCUGGUUAUUUAAAAGUACGUGGCACCUCCACACCUGCUUCCUCCUCCUCCAGCCAGAUGAAGAUGCCUGCUGGCGCUUUACCUUCCGCCAUGAGUAAAAGCUCCCUGAGGCCUCCCCAGAAACAGAUGCUGCCCUUCUUCCUGUAUAGCCUGGGAAGCUGUGAGCCAAUUAAACCUCUUUUCUUAUAAUUUACCCCGUCUCAAGUAUUUCUUUAUAGCAGGAUAAGAAUGGACUAAUACAUCUAGAAAGAACAAUUCCCCUGUAGGAACAUACCCUAUGGAGAGACUGAUCCUGUGGAUAGCCUCCAAUCACCUUCUUUAUCUGACCAUUAUCCACCUAUCUCAAUCACCCCAGGGCCAGAUGCCAGACAGAAAGAGUGGCUACGUCCCAGAGCCCAUUGAAUUACUCAAACUAGCCAAUCCUAAAUCUGCUUAUUUUACCUCAUGGAUUCCUCCUCAUGGAAACCACAGUAAAAAACCUUGCCCACAUUCCCCGACUCCCUCUACCUCCUGACGACCCUGGUGCUUCCCCAUGUGGCCUGCAUGGCAUGUCACAGCUCCUGUUCCUAGGAGUCUGUGAAUAUAGACUUCAUAAUUAUCAUUUCUGUGUCUGCAUAUCUUUCAUGCCUGAUUAAAACAAAUCCCAGACAUAUUUUUUAACUUCCUUGAAAACAACUUUCAAAUAUCUUGAGUUCUUUGGAAAUAAAAAGAACCUCCAGAGAUAUUCCCCGUCCUAAAGACAAGUAAUCAGAAGCCCAUAGUCCAGAAAACGAAGUUUGGUAUGUUGUGUGUGUGCAUGUUGGAGAAGGGGAAGAAGUUAGUGUCUUCGAUGAUCUUUAAGUUUCCUCUUGCAUGUAUUAUUUUACAUAAUCAGGCAUAUUCUAUAUAAUCAGUAGAAGCCCUAUGUCAUGCUAAUUAUUUCUGUGCCCAUGCACUUUCACUCAGCUUUGUAUACACAGCGUGUGUGCUGUGCUCUGCAUAGUACCUAGCACAUUGCUAGUACUUUUAGAAGAUUAAGGCCCAGCAAAAUAUGAAUAUCAUGCUCUCCCGCCAUGAAUUGCAUCUAAUGUCUAAUUUUCUGAAUGCUCCUAUUCUCCCUUGUCUGAUGUGCUCACCUCAAAGUAUUGGCAGGUGGGUGAAGUGGAGGUCUUGGUGGGGGAGAGGGCAGCAUUAACUAGAAAGGUACUAGCAUCAGAGGUUACGUUGCUCUUUCAUCUGGGCCUAUUGUAAGGAGCUUCUUACCAUUGGCUACAAAAAUUACCUCCAAGAUAUAGAAUGGGAACUCAGAGGCAAAGCCAACUGGGAAAAGGUAAGGUACAAAUAAAAUAAAAAUGGGACCAAAAUUCAGGAUUCGUAAUUGGGAUUUGGUGGAGAUUUCAGAGCUGAGCAUUUGGAAACUACAAGAAGAAGAUCAGAGCAAAAAAGAUUAGAAACCAGCUAAAUGAAUUCUUGUGUGAUUUACAAAGCAGACUGGGGCUCCCUUGGCUGGUGGGUGUGUGAUCCUCAGGGCUCCAAGUUGGCUGGAAGGGUCAAUGAAGGCAAAAGGAACAUGUGUCUUAGGUUGGGUUCCUCUGGAAACAUUCUGAGAGUGUGAAGAGGGCUUGUUGGGGAGUGCUCUCAGGAACAUCUUAAGGCAGCGAGGAAAGCCAGAUGGGACAGAGCCGGGAGUGGAAUUGCAAUGCAGUUGCAGCCAAGGCCUUGGGUAAUCUAUAUGUCACUGUGUAAUGGGGGUGGCAGUUCAGAGUUGUCCAGAACUGAGGUGUGAAAACUGGGCUUUUGUACCUCCUCUACGGAUCUGAACUACUCUGGAGAAGGAGACAUAAUUUGGGUGAGGCAACCUCACUUCUGCCAAAGGCAAUUCCUCUGGAUGCAGCUGUGGGCUCAGCAGCCAAUAGUCAAGACAACUGGAAGAAUCAGUCCCAGUGAGGGAUCUGGGUGGCAUCCAUGACAGCAUCCCAUUAAAUAGAAAACUGGCAGUACCACAUUUGGAAUUGUGGAUUUUGCAAGCCAAGUUUAUCUUAUUAACUCAAAGCAAUGUCAAAAUGUCAAACUCUGUUGGGUCAGGAAAUAGGAUGCUCCAACCCUGCCCAUGGUAAGUUCUCAUAGCUGCUAUAAACAUCUUAAGAAAGCACACAUGAUUGGGCCUGAUAGCCCAGGGAGGGGUUAUUCUAACUGAUGUCUCUGCCAACUCUAUAAGCUGGUAGCUUGGCUGCAGUACACCAGGUAUCCGGAUAGGAAGUUGUUUCCAUGCGUAACCAAAGGUGAAGGACCCAGGGUGGUCACCUGAAAUGUGUUUGUCAUAUGCAGGUCAUCGUUCCUGGGAAUCUUUGGCCUCAUUUCCCAGAUCCCUCUGGCUCAAACGUAUGAUGAUUUAAAUCAAGAUGCUUGGGAGCAAUGACAAAUAAUCCACUACAACUUCUCUGCUGCUUCCCUGCUUGCCUACGGCCCACCCUCUCCAGCACACACACACUCAGACACACACAAGUACAGUAUUGUUCCACCAUAUCCCUAAUUUUACAGAUCUCCCGCUGAAGGUUCUGACUAAUGGUAAGUUAUUUGUUCAGAAAGAUUUUAUGGCUCUCAUAAAAUGUCAAUUACAGUUUUAAAAUAACUUGUAGUUUUUCUGUAACAUGAUGCUGCCAUCUUGGUUCCCAGAGGGUGUAUUAAAUUCAAGUAGCAAUAACAAAUCAUUUAAGCAAUAAAUAAAUAACCUGAGACGGAGUGUUGUUAAGAGUUAAUAGUCUCCCAUACACUCAAUAGAGGUUGAGGCUCCACUCAAUUAAAGUGACCCUGGGAGGGAGGGGCACAGGGGCCAAACUGCACCCAGUCGUUUUGUUGAAGGUAUUCAACCCGCACACAUUCAUUUCCUUCUUUAUGUUGUCUCUUUUCAGCAGGGAAGGCUCUCUGCAGUCCCUGGUUCCAGAGAACAAUUACGGUACAGUCUGAGAGAACAGAGAGAAAGCUGGGGUCAUAAAUAUGUUAAAUGGGUGCGUGGGUUUAAGUGGCUUUGUAAACGAAACACGGAGGAAAACUCAGACUAAUUAAUGAAUAUGAAGCAGCAGGAAGGCUGGAGGUUUCUGGGGGACCGUCUUGUUGAGGGAUGAAGAUGCGACAUCUGUAGAAUUAUUUUCCUCCAGGAAGGGACACUUGCUUAUUUCAAAACCUCUUUUUCUAGAUCUCAAAGUGGCUUUGUGGAGAACAUCAGAUGUGGGUGAAAACACACAAAGAAACAUUUAAAAGUGAAAUCCCCUUAAGUUGCAAUUUCUCUGAUCAAGUUAUAACCUUGCCCAAAAGAAUGAUCUGACAGAUUUUUAAAAAGUGUUAUCUGUGUAUUCUGAGAGAGUGACAUCAUGCUAAUGUAGAAAAGAAGAUGUAUUGCAUAUUUUAAAUACAGAUUCACAGCUCAUUCCAAUACACAGACUCUCGCCUAAUAAGUGGCAUUUGUUGAAUGUUAAAUUCCAUUUCGGUCAAAUCAAAGAUAAAGAUUUUGUGAUGUGGCAUAUCUGCAAUGUUCUAAAAUAUUUCAGUUUUUCUGUUUGGAGCAUUUACUCUUUUUCCUUUUGCUCCUUCUUCACCUUUUUUGGAAAAAAUUAUUAGCACAAAUAUCUUAUCUGCACAGGAUGUUAAAGACUGCCUGCAUGCCUCCUAUGACCUGUGUUUACCCACAAAUGACUUUCUGGUCUUGCUGUGUGAGACAAGCCAGUGCUGGUACUCUGAAGUGUCCCAGAACUUGGGGGAUGCUGACCCUGUAGGAGCCAGUCAAAGAACAACCACCACACAUAGGCCACAGCAGAGACGCAGAUGGACAACGGAGUCAGGAAGGAGAGACAGACUCAAACAAGGAUGGGAAAAGUAGACAGGCACAAAGAAAGCCACAGAGAAGAACAAACACGAAAAUAAAAACCCAGAAGCAACAGAAAAAUGGCACUUCUAGGAUGCACCCUAGCCUCCUUGUUUAAUUGACUAAAUGGCAGAGCUGUGAGCAGAAGAUGAAAUAGUUGAUCUAAUUUGAUUGUUAAAAGGCAAAAAUAAGCAGACUGCCCCAGUUUCAGCAGCCUUAGUUUCAAUGACAAGCAAACAAAACCUUGCUACAUCUUGUCUAUAUUGAUUCAACCAACUCAUUUUGUUUUUAUUACAUUUAAAGCUGAAGAAUUACCUUUAUCAUUCUUAAAUGUAAUUCAUAAAUGACAUCUGUUCUUCAAAAAGAAAUAGUAUGUGUUUGAUUGAACACCUACUAUAGGAAAGGUAGGGGAUUAAGGCUUUGCAGAAAGAAUACAAAGAUGCAUGAGAACUCUAAUUGAUCUUAAAAUAUUAAGGAAACAGAUGGUCACGGUUACGUGAUAAAUGUGUCAAACUAAAUGAUAUCAAGACAAGAAGUGAAUAGUACAAGAAACAUCAGAAUAACUGUCACAAGAAAAUGCUCUUGAAAAAUUGCUUAAUAUGGGAUACAGAUUAUAAACGUUUUGAGGUCUGAAGGGAGAAGACUUAUAAUUUGUAUAAAUACAGAUUAUAAACGUUUUGAGGUCUGAAGGGAGUUAAAGUAAUCAUUAUAGUUCUAAUGAGAUGAUGAUCUGCUUUGGGUCUUCGAGGACCUUUGAUUCUUUUAUAGGUGAAAUGGAGAAGAAAAGGAUUUGGAGACAUUAAUUUACAUAUUAUCCAUUGCUGUUGUUUUAUUUAUAAGGAACAAUGAAACCAUAAACAUAUAUAUAGUGGUAUGAUGUGAUCUGUGUUUGUCUUAAAUUUUCACCUUAUACACAAAUACAAAGAAAAGUUAUCUAAGGAAGCUUGAUAGUUGCAGUGAAACUAUUCCAUGGAAGAAAGUGAUGCUGGAAAUAGUCAUUAAGCAAAAAAUGAUAGUAACUCUCAAAUACUUAUGUCUUUUGUCAGCAUUUCUAUAUACAAACUAUCAAAAGACUAUUUUAUAUAUAGUCUUUGCUAUGUUAGAAUGGAAUAAUGUCCUUCCCCUCUGAAUACCUUAUAGCUCCCAGAGCAUGAUUUAAAUGUUCAAAUGUCUAUCAAACAGAGAAGAAAAACAAAUCAGUAUUUUCCUAGAGUUGAGGAUGGGAGCAGGGAAUAACCAUCACCUGGGAUCAAGGGAAUUUGGGCAGUGAUGGAAAUGUUCUGAAAAAUUACACUGUGGUAAUGGUUGUACAAUUCAAUACAUUAACUAAAAUCAUUGAAUUGUACAUUGAUUACAGGCAAAUUUAAUGAUAUGUAAAUUAUAAUUCAAUAAAGCUAUCUUUUUUUGAAGUGUCUACCAGGCCAGGGUGGUAAUGUAACUCAAUGAUAGUUUCUGUGUUUUGAAUGAAGAUGCACUCUUUUUGCAUGGUAGACAUUUAAGAGUGUCCUUUAACCUCACUAAGAUUUAUCAAUCUCCCAUAUUUCAUGAAACCCAGGAUUUUCUUGUUGUAUUUUUUGUUUUCUAAUUUUUAUAGAGAUAUGAGUAUAGAAAAAAAUUUUUUUAGUUAGAGGAAAACAACAUGACAAGUGACAAUCCAAGAUUUCUCACUGUGCAGCCUUGGUAGAAACUGGUGGGGCCAUGAUACCUGGAGGACUGUGUCCUGUGUCAAGGUGAAAACCACUACUCAGCUCCAUUGGUUGUUACAGGGUAGGGAGGGGAAGUUGCCAGAUUUUCUACUUCUCCAAGAAAACAUUAUAAUAAAAUCUUCUGAUUUUAAGAUGUUGGUUCAGACUUUUAAAACAAAACACCAUAUGGUCCAAACAAAAUGGGCCAAUUCAGUCAAUGAGGUGAAAGUCCAUAGCCUCUGCUUUAUAGUCAGAAGCUUAUUGUGUAGUGCUUAAUUAUGGAUUUCCUACUUUUGCUCACUGUUGUUCUGUGUGGGCUAAUUUUGACUCCCCGAACUUUUAUAGUUUCUGGAGCUGGAGGUUGGGGUAAGGGUUUUGGGCCUGAUACGUACGUGUGUGUGCAUGUAUGUUUGUGUAUACUGGUCUCAACCAGUGCGUAGCUUUGUGCCAAAUAUAUAUUACAAAUGCACAGUCAGUAUUGUCGGUUUCAUUAAGAUAAUCAAAAUAUCAUGCAAAUAAAUGUUUUCUUGAAGACUAGCUAAAAUAUGCAUGCUACUUCACCCAUCUAGAAAGAUACAGUCUGGACUCAAACUCAAGUCUAAGUAGACCUCACAUAAAGUGACAAUGACCUGUCAGGUUUUCCUUGGCCAGAUCAAGCACACAAGAAAAUAAAAAUAAUAAUUUUCUGUACUGGGCCAUCGUAUUAUCUCUGAAAUGUGGCAGAGACUAGAUAGAUUCUUACCAAAUAUUGUUUCUUCUCUCUGGGCAUACGUAAAGACUGCAUUUCCCAUACUCCCUUGAAGUUAGUUUGAAGUCAUUUGACUACAUUUUAGGCAUGGAAUUUGAGCAGACAUGUUCCAGGACUAGCUAUAGAAGUCUCCUGUGUGAACCGCCAUAUCUCUUCUCUUUCCAUGCUGUAGCAUUUGCAGAGAAUACAUUUUAGAAUAGAGUCAUCGCAUGAUGGAAGGAAACUGGGUUCCUGAGUCACAGCAUGGAGGAGAGUCACAAAGGAGAGCCAUCUGGCCCACAUCAGACUAAGGUGAGCAACUUGAGGCUCAGAGAGAUUCAGUAACUCAUCCAAGUUCAUAUGUCUAAAGAAUAUAGACUGAGCCAAAAGUCAAGCUCAGGUUUGCAUGACUCUGAAACAUGUGACCCAGGAUCAGACCUCCCUGCAGUUACACUUCACCACCGAGGACUACGAUAUGAACGCUGAGGUGGAGAUUAUAGUCCCAUUCCACAUUUAUGAAGUGCCCCCACUGAUGGGGGUACCACAUACCAGGUCCAAACCAUGAUACCUUUGAGAGUGAAUGGGGAAUUAUUAAUCUGAUGCUGGGACAAUAGCGUAUUAUUAACUAGGACUGCUCCGGUGACAUGACGACCUACUAUGGUCACCCCCAAUCCCUGGGAACCUCUUGGAAGAAGGUCUCUUAGCAACAGAAGGGAAGCAUCCUGGUCAGGUAAUCUGCUUCCCCAGAGCAACCACCGACAUAUCUACUAUGUUCACUUGGUAGAAAGAAGUAACAAGGGAAACAGAAGAGGUAGGUAAGAAACAAACAAUGUAUUUUACAAUUCAUCAUAAAAUGAUUGCUGGGAGCAUAUUUUUUGCUUCAGAAACGUUAGUCAAAAUAAUUCAGCUAUAGUCCUGGUAUCAUAGAACACACAUAUCCUAGCAAAUUUCAAAUGCAAUAGUUUGUCAGUUUAUAGUCCACAGAAGAUCUUCUAAGUAUAGGCCUGUGCCACAUUCUCCUUACCCCGUGGUGUCUCUUGGGCAGCGUACAUGGGCAUGCAAAUGUGACAAGAAGAAUUCUGAUUCCUCACGCUUAUUUAGGUUGUGAAACUCCUAUUCUGGGUUCAUGCCAUAAACAUGGUGUGCCUAAUUAAAGAGGCUAAAAUCAAAAGAACCACAGCUCUUUCUUUCACAAAACUAUUUCUCUUCCUCUUUCUGCUCCUCCUCCUUCUCUUACAGAGCUCUUACUACCAAAAUACAUACAAAUUAGACAUGCAUUACUGGAAGAAACUGUAGGAAAAGGAGCUAAUGACUUUAGUGGGGCAGAAGGUUCAAAUAUAGGACAGGAAUCCAGCCCCACACCACUGGUUCACUUGAAUACCUCCUGCUGUUCAAAUUCUACUCACCUCUUGUCCCCCAACUUUCUGCUGGGCACUGACCAACACUCAGAGGUAUAAACUUAAAUUUGAUGUUCAGCACAUAUAUUUGCUCCCAUUCAUGAAGAUCCAUGGCUACAAAGACUAGGAAAUUAGAAACUAAGCCCCAGACCCUUGCUUUGGACUACAGUAUUUCCAGAUAUUGGCUCAGGGAUACUUAGAGGGCUGGAUUUGCCAUGUCACGCCCGAUAGCCUGCUGGUUGUCGGCGGGGUCUCCUUCUCGGCUGAGGAAGGCAGUGGCUCAGAGACCUGCUCUUUGUCUGAGGUGACACAGACUCUUGGCAGCAGACCUCUUCAGUUCAAGCUUGCUUGCUUCUGAAGUCCUGCCAACCCUCACACUAAGAAAACGAUGGCAUUUAAUUAGGGGGAAACACCUCGUGCUACAUGAAAGAGAAGAGAGAAAUGGGAAAAAUUAAUUCAUUGCUAUGUAAUAGGUGUAAAACACUUUAAAUAUGUAGAGGUUGCCAUUUAAUUUUUUAAAAAGUCAGCUUCUUAUUAGACAGCAGUGUAGAUAGAUAUCUUGACAGCUUUUGCACGUUGGUAGCAGCCUAGGGCAACAUGGACACUAGAAAGUCAUUGCAAUAAACCUCUGAGCUUUGCCCUAUUAAAAAUGUCAGACUAAUAAAUCACAUUUUUUAAUGACCAAGGAGGGAGGAGAUCAAUAAGCUUUAGGAAGCCAUCUACAGAAGGGUCAUCUGGUGCUGUUUAACAUAGGCUCACUACGGUGGCAAAGAUUUCACAAUUCAUCUACCGUUCAAUGUUAAGAUCCACAUCAGGGCAUGAAAGUUAUAUUAACUUUUAGGCCAGAAAUCUUGGAGGAAACUCUUCUAUUUUUAGGCACUUAUUUAGUCUUUCAGAUCGUGUGUGUGUGUUUUUAAAUAGCCCUAUAUUUUCAAAUUGUUUUCUGUCUUUCGAAUCUUUAAAAUGUAGAAAAUAAUAUUUUUCUUGGUUCUAUUAACCAGAGUUUUUAAAAACUUUUCUAAAUAUGGCAAUUACUUAGCAUAUUGAAACAACAACAGGAGGUCAAUUAAACAAAGGGAUGAAAUUUACUGUUGAGGCAAUGAAUGGAAGAGUAUACCCUAUAGACCUGCAGGCUUCAGUGUUAGCAAAGAUCAAACUGUCAACCUCAAAGAAAAAUAGAUCCUUUAAAAGAAAUAAUCCAAGGCUUAUCAUUAUUCUUAGCAGCUUUUUCUUCUCUCUUCCUCAUACCUCCCUUCUCCUGAAUUAUAUAUGCAUUAACAGACAUUCUCAUUGGAGGAAAAAAAACUAAAUUUGACAUCUUUUAUAAGUUAUUCAUUUUAACAAAAGUUUCAAAAUUGCCUUAUUUAAUGAGUUUCUCUUCACCAGUACAAAAGACAAUAAAUAAGACGCAGUGAUGAGCAGUAGAGGAAGGUCUUUUGAGGUCUCGGUGAGACUGUUUAGCAGGGAUUGAAGACCACUUCUGAUGCUCACUCUAAAAGAAAUAUUUUAAGCAAACCAUAAAAGUGGGCUUGACCCUUCCAUGGGACCAUCAUAAAUCAAUUGUUAAAGCAAGGGUGAAAACUGGGGAGGAGGUCAGAGGUGGGAGAGAGGCCACAGAGAAAGGACAGUGUGAGAAACUAGAGCCAAACCAGGGAAGAGAAUAGGGCAAUCUUUUGGUUGAGCAGCAUCAUUAAUUCAGAAAUUGUGUUUAUGCUGCUUAGAACUGUACACUAAUGAAAUUACAGCCAUAUGAAAACUUCCCACAGCAGAACUUAAAACCUAGGGUUGUUUUAGCACUGAGGCUCCUGUUCAGCAACAGGUCGAUUGAAACUUGCUUAAAAGUCAGUGUCAAUCUACCCUAAGUCCUUGGGAAAGUUCCUCCGAAUAUACAGGAAAGUUUGUGCCACUGUUUCCCGUGUGUCAUUAAAUGAUACACCUUUAGAUGUGCGGGUGGUAUUCAGACAUAAAUAUCUAACUCAUGGUGUCUCGAAGCAUGUCAGUUUUACCAUAUUCUGAGAAAGGCAGCCCUUAACUUUUUGCCAAAUUGAUCUUACACUCGCAAGAAAAGGCUUCGUGAUAACCCCUUCAUUAGGAGAAAAGAAUAUAGAAUAACAAGUUAGAGUGUUGACUAAUCUAAAAAAUAAAAACUUUUGCAGAAAAUUUUGUAUCAAAUGUAGAGUUUGAAUGAUCUAUAUGUCUAGUCAUUUGUUUCCUUCGGGUGGAAUCAAGUUUGAAGCCCAGACAAUUAAAGUGAUUCACAUUUAAAUGAAAGGUGGCUCGAUUGAUUUGUAACGACACAAUUUAUUUGGUAAUAAUGACAUUCCUUGCGUUUGGCCAAGAAAACAAAGGUUGAUUUAUUUCCUAAUA